UGCUGAUCUGCCGUGGCCAGAAGGAUGUCCAUUCCAUCAAACAUCUCCUGGCAUGUCUAGGUGAUAUUAAAGCUUGGUUGGCCUUGAACUUUAUAAAUUUUAAUAAAAACAAAACAGAGGUGAUGGUGUUUGGACCCAGUGGCUCCUGUGAGUCCUCCUCUGUUGACCUGGGACCUUUGGAGGAAUAUUUUAAACCUGUUAUUACAGAUCUUGGUUUUAAGGUGGACAGUGAUCUCAGAUUGGACGGCCAAAUCAGAGCCGUGGUUAAGUCCAGUUUUUAUCAUUCAAGGCAAUUGGCGUCAGUGAAAUCUUUUCUUUCCAGGCAGCAUUUUGAAACGGUGAUCCACGCUUUUAUUUUGACUCGAUUGGAUUACUGUAACUCACUUUAUCUGGGAGUCAGUCAGUCGCUGCUCUCAGGUCUGCAGCUGGUUCAGAUGCUGCUGCACCACUUAGGACAGUAACUCGACAGGGAGCAGGUGACCCCUGGCCCCUGUCCUGGCCUCACUUCACUGGCUGCCUGUAUAUUUUAGGAUUCAUUUUAAAAUUCUUAUGUUUGUUUUUAAAUCAC